CGGCGGACGGGUGAGUAACACGUGGGUAACCUGCCUUCGAGAUUGGGAUAACUCCGGGAAACCGGGGCUAAUACCGAAUAACACAUGAAACCGCAUGGUUUCGUGAUAAAAGGCGGCUUCGGCCGUCACUCGAAGAUGGACCCGCGGCGCAUUAGCUAGUUGGUAAGGUAACGGCUUACCAAGGCGACGAUGCGUAGCCGACCUGAGAGGGUGAUCGGCCACACUGGGACUGAGACACGGCCCAGACUCCUACGGGAGGCAGCAGUAGGGAAUCUUCCGCAAUGGACGAAAGUCUGACGGAGCAACGCCGCGUGAACGAUGAAGGUCUUCGGAUCGUAAAGUUCUGUUGUUAGGGAAGAACAAGUGCCAUAGGAAAUGAUGGCACCUUGACGGUACCUAACCAGAAAGCCCCGGCUAACUACGUGCCAGCAGCCGCGGUAAUACGUAGGGGGCAAGCGUUGUCCGGAAUUAUUGGGCGUAAAGCGCGCGCAGGCGGUUCCUUAAGUCUGAUGUGAAAGCCCACGGCUCAACCGUGGAUGGCCAUUGGAAACUGGGGAACUUGAGUACAGAAGAGGAGAGUGGAAUUCCACGUGUAGCGGUGAAAUGCGUAGAGAUGUGGAGGAACACCAGUGGCGAAGGCGACUCUCUGGUCUGUAACUGACGCUGAGGCGCGAAAGCGUGGGUAGCAAACAGGAUUAGAUACCCUGGUAGUCCACGCCGU
rnacentral:rRNA from 1 species